AAACUCUUUGAUCGUCGUCUUCUUAAUAGAGCUGUCCAAUCAUAUGAGGGCCACGUGAAUUCUCACAGCCAUCGGCAACUAAGUGUCAAUUCAUCCGAAUCAUUCCUGCUGUCAGGUGGGGAAGAUUGCUUUGUGCGAAUCUGGAGUAUCAAAACCAGUCAGUUAAUCUUGCAAGAGAACGUCUCCAAUUCCAUCUUCUCGACCGUUUGCUGGCCUUCUUAUGGAGACAUCUCAUAUGGUUAUGAUGAAUUUCUUAAGCACGGUGAGAAUCCCUACGAUUCCACAUGUAGCUGGGGGGUCUGGCUGGGUUCGCGUGAAGGGCUACACUACAUGCGUGGCGUCUGAUUUACAUUAGCAUGAUUCAAGUAGAAGAUUAUAUUUGUAAGAUUAUCUAUAUCUAUGUAUAUAUAUAUAUAUAU